rnacentral:rRNA from 1 species
ACUACACUGUCUCCUCCGUAAAAUCAANGAAACUGAUCUCCUCGNGAAGAAGCGAGGAUAUAUAUAUAAGACGAGAAGACCCCNUGGAGNUUUAAACGAACUUCAAUUGCUUCCACCAAUACCACGAAAAUUAAGCACUANUGAUAGAUAGUUUUAGGUUGGGGUGACCGCGGAGUAAAACAAAACCUCCACAAUGAACGUAACAAAAUUCUAAUAAAANAACUACAACUCUAAUAAUCAACAUAUUGACAUAAAUUGACCCAAANAUUUGAUCAAUGAACCAAGUUACCCUGGGGAUAACAGCGCAAUCCAUUUUAAGAGCCCUUAUCGACAAAUGGGUUUACNACCUCGAUGUUGGAUCAGGGUAUCCCAGUGGUGCANCCGCUACUAAUGNGUUCGUUUGUUCAACGAUUAAAACCCUACGUGAUCUG